rnacentral:lncRNA from 10 species
AGAUACUAGGCACAGAAGCAGAGAGAGCAAAGAAGUGCCCCAGCUUCUUUCCCAUAACUUUCUGAUUUGCCAAUGCCUCUCAUUGGCCAAAUUUAAUUGACAGCUAACUGGCCAGGGAGCUGGAUGAGGCAUUCAGAGGGAUCAGGCACCCAGAGCACAGAGAAAAGGAGAAAAGUAGAGAGGGACUUGGGUGGGGGUGAGGCGGGGGGUGGUGUGUAGUGCCCAGAGCACAACGUUAAGAGAGAGACAUACUUAUGUGUGAUGUCAUUCUUAUUUGACAUGUCAAGAAACUGAAGCCCCAAGUAGUUGAAUUACUUGCUCCGAGUCACACAACUAGCACCAUGUGGCUAAUACAGGAUUUGAACCCAGGACUUCUACCUCCAGAGGAAUGCAGAGAAGACAUUCCAUGGCUAGAAUGGCACGGUGUGGAAAAAUGGCGGGCGAGGAGGCCACUAAGGUGGGCAGGAGCUCCAGGAGAACAGGUGCUUAGAAGGAUAAUACUAUUACCAAGGUGUACUGUAAAAGUGAAUACAUUUUAAUAGGAUUAUGAUAACAGAAUCUUUAUCCAGUGACUACUGCAAAGAGAAGAGAGAAGAUUUCUGCUUUCAGAUUAGAGUACAGACUUUGAAAUGAAAAGCAGAUUAUCUUAUUAGCCUGACAACUGAUGUACAGCACUCAAAGUCCUGUUUCUUGUUUGUAAAAGGAAUCAUUUUAGGUGAACAUGCUUUUGACUGGCUACUAGUAUGACAUUCAUUAUAGCGAAAGAGCAAGAGAAAAUACAAGGACUGCCAUUCUGCACAUCUCACACCAGAUGUGAUUACUUUUUUCUGAAGCUGAAAAGCAGUCAAACACCUCAGUAGCUAAAAAUGUGCAGCUGCUGUGUGUAAAUAGCAGAUACAUGAAAUUGUAUACUGAAGUAUAUGCUCAUGGAGAUUGGAUAGAAAUGUUUUUAAUUCAACUAUAAAAUAAUUUAAUGAGUCUAGUCUUUCCGACAGUUAAGAAAAACCAUGUUAACUGAGCAUGAACUAAGGGCUGGGGUCUUGACAUUAAGAAAGUAUUGAUCUCAGAAAGACUUGGGGUUGUAUCUGGUGAAACCUGAACACAAAGAAGAUCAGUCAGAAACACAGUAGAUGGGCUUGAGUCCAUGUCCAAAAAGGAGAAUUGUCAAGAACAGCUAAAGCCAGUUCCUGUGAGAUCACUACCCAGAGCUCUGUUGGCAAAGAUGAGGUGCAGAGAAGAUGUCAAUGAACAAAGAAGGUUGCCGUUAUAAUGAAACACAUGGGGAUGAUAGUUGAUGUCCACUGAGUGGCUCUCCCCUUCCCAUGAAGCAACCUUGCCUCCAACAGGACCAACCACCAGUGUUCACAGAGCACCUCAGGUACGCCAGGCUCCCUUAUGCUUGAUUCCAUUUAAAUUUUCCUCUUGGGGGAGGAGCCAAGAUGGCCGAAUAGGAACAGCUCCGGUCUACAGCUCCCAGC